AUUGCCUCAGUAACGGCGAGUGAAGCGGCAAAAGCUCAAAUUUGAAAUCUAGCACUUUCAGUGUUCGAGUUGUAAUUUGAAGAAGGUAACUUUGGUUUUGGCUCUUGUCUAUGUUCCUUGGAACAGGACGUCACAGAGGGUGAGAAUCCCGUGCGAUGAGAUGCCCAAUUCCAUGUAAAGUGCUUUCGAAGAGUCGAGUUGUUUGGGAAUGCAGCUCUAAGUGGGUGGUAAAUUCCAUCUAAAGCUAAAUAUUGGCGAGAGACCGAUAGCGAACAAGUACAGUGAUGGAAAGAUGAAAAGAACUUUGAAAAGAGAGUGAAAAAGUACGUGAAAUUGUUGAAAGGGAAGGGCUUGAGAUCAGACUUGGUAUUUUGCGUUCCCUUCCUUUUUGGUUGGGUUCCUCGCAGUUUACUGGGCCAGCAUCGGUUUGGAUGGUAGGAUAAUGACAUUGGAAUGUAGCUUUACUUCGGUGAAGUGUUAUAGACUUUGUUGAUACUGCCUAUCUAGACCGAGGACUGCGUCUUUGACUAGGAUGCUGGCGUAAUGAUCUUAAGCCGCCCGUCUUGAAACACGGACC
rnacentral:rRNA from 1 species